GAACAACGCUGGCGGCGUGCCUAAUGCAUGCAAGUCGGACGGGAACCCCUUCGGGGGUCGACCGUGGCGGACGGGUGAGGAGCACGUGGGGAACCUGCCCAAGCGCGGGGGAUAAGCCCGGGAAACCGGGGGUAAGACCCCAUAGUCUUGCACGCUGGUAGGGGGUGCAAGCAAAAGCGAGAGCUGUGCUUGGAGGGUCCUGCGGCCUAUCAGCUAGUUGGUGGGGUAGUGGCCUACCAAGGCGAUGACGGGUCGCUGGUCUGAGAGGACGACCAGCCACACGGGGACUGAGACACGGCCCCGACUCCUACGGGAGGCAGCAGCAAGGAAUUUUCCGCAAUGGGCGCAAGCCUGACGGAGCGACGCCGCGU
rnacentral:rRNA from 1 species